rnacentral:tRNA from 1 species
GCCAACGUAGCUCAGUCGGCAGAGCAACUCCAUGGUAAGGAGUAGGUUGUCGGUUCGAUUCCGACCGUUGGCU